CCCGUUAUCCUGUGACCCAACACCUGCCGGAAGCGGUGGGUGGAGACCCGAGGAGC
rnacentral:ncRNA from 1 species